UUACAGCUUAAAAUAUCGAUAAUCAAUUGGCCAAUUUUUCUGUAUAUAAGAACGAGAUAUCGUUGACUAAAGUGAUUUCUCUCCUCGAGCUGAACAGGAAAACUCUGAAAAUGAAAGCAGUCAUUUUUGUCCUUGUGCUGGUGGGGUGCAUCGUGCUGUCCACGCAGUGGUCUCCUAACCAAUGUUUCUACAAUGGACAAACUUACCAACCUGAAGAGACGACGACCAUGAAUGGAGUUACAUACGUAUGUAAAGGAUAUGAUAGAUGGGAACCUAUUAUCGGACAACCACCAGGAAAUGCACCCGCCCCUCCACCGCCACCACCGGGAUAUAAAUAAAUGCAUUGUAUUUACCGUCUGGAAGAUUAACUAUACCAUCAUUCAUUCGGCCUUUGACAUUAAGACAUAGCCUGACUGAGACAUUGAGCAAUUCUGAUACUUGCUGCACAAGAAAGAUGGAGGAGGAGGAGGGGGGGGGCGCUUAUACAAUAUUUUGAAAUGAACUUUUUGUCCUGAACAGGAUUAUCCUCCCCCCCCCCCCUCCCCUAGACCCGACAGAAGAAUGAUAGUAGGCGGUGGAUUAAAGGAUAUGCUUCACAAAUCAGCGGGUCUAAGUUAUAAGAUUGGUGUAAUUUUGAAAUUAAAUAAACUGUUUUGAGUUAAUUUCUUUUCAGCAGCUGCUUUGACAUAAACGCAAAUAAAAGAAUUCAUGU
rnacentral:lncRNA from 1 species